UACGUGGAACGUUGGAAGAAGAGAGUGUAGAGAGGCAAAGAAGGAUGUAGAAGACUCCUCCGGAAUGAGGGUUGAGGAGAGAGGUGGAGGUGGAGUCGGCGCCAUCUGGAAUAAAUAGAAAAGAGGUUCAGAUGUUAUCUUGAA
ensembl:ncRNA F56D1.9 ncRNA